ensembl:lncRNA
GCCUAAUCACAUCUGGGACUCAGGAAACCUCCUUUCCAGGCGUGGCAGUCAGAGUAUCUCAAGAUGAAGGAAAAAGCGUUUUCCCUUGAAUGCUGGCUGUUGUUUCAUCUUCUACUACUUAUAGGAAAUGCCGUAACUUCUACUGCUAACACUACAACCACCUCCCUUGGAUUGACCACACUAUCCAGUGGAACUGUCACAACCGCUACCAUCUCCAGUGUCACCAGCUCAAGUACCGCUCCACCAAGGGAAGAGGAAAACCCUAGCGGACACCUGAGGCCGGGGGAGGUCGUCCUAGUUACUCUGGCCUCGGUUGCGAUGGCUGUGAUUCUCCUCACUGGGCUUCUCUUCUAUUUCAGAAACUCUCCAAGCCUAAGAAACCUCUUCAACGUAGAUCUCUUGCCGCCCCCACUGCUAUGCCCUUCACGGCUGUUACGAAGUCCCAGAAGGGUCCAGGGCGACCGUAACUGACUUCAGAGGAGAGCUGUCUUCUCCUUCAGCCAGAGAGCUGACUGGGAGACAAGCAUGGCCCUGAGUGUCCCUGAAGGCAGAAGCAACACAGUCCUCGGGGGCAGAGAGGCUGCUGACCUGAAUCGAGAGGUUAAGUGCCCC